rnacentral:rRNA from 1 species
UACGGAGGGGGCUAGCGUUGUUCGGAAUUACUGGGCGUAAAGCGCACGUAGGCGGCUUUGUAAGUUAGAGGUGAAAGCCCGGGGCUCAACCCCGGAAUUGCCUUUAAGACUGCAUCGCUUGAAUCCGGGAGAGGUGAGUGGAAUUCCGAGUGUAGAGGUGAAAUUCGUAGAUAUUCGGAAGAACACCAGUGGCGAAGGCGGCUCACUGGACCGGCAUUGACGCUGAGGUGCGAAAGCGUGGGGAGCAAACAGG